rnacentral:rRNA from 1 species
AGGGGGCUAGCGUUGUCCGGAAUCAUUGGGCGUAAAGCGCGCGUAGGCGGCCAGAUAAGUCCGGUGUGAAAGUCACAGGCUCAACCUGUGAAUGCCGCUGGAAACUGUCUGGCUAGAGUCCGGAAGGGGAGAGUGGAAUUCCUGGUGUAGCGGUGAAAUGCGCAGAUAUCAGGAGGAACACCAAUGGCGAAGGCAGCUCGCUGGAACGGUACUGACGCUGAGGCGCGAAAGCGUGGGGAGCGAACAGG